AACUAAAAAACAGACGAAAACAUUUAGAAUUACCAUACCCUGUCUGUUCAUGUUACCUGCUUCUGGUAUUUGAUCACUGGUUUCUGUUUCCUUUUGUUUUCCUUUCGUAUCGUUAGUUCCAACUUUAGAGGGAGUUGGAUAAGACUUGUUUCCUCUCUGUUUUCCUUAUUUAGUUGUAUCGUCUAGCCGUGAUGGGGCUAUAAGGAGUGGGUAGUCCCGGAGCAUUUCAAGCCGUCCCUCCGGAGAAGCCUGAGCAUCUCCUCCGGGUUAAUUUUAGUGCUCAUGUUCCUCUUGUAUCGUCGUACCGAGUUGUAGGGCUCCUUGGUACGUUUUAAAUGCCCUUUUUGUCCCUUUAUUUAAGUCGUGCAAAUUGUCUUAAGAGCACACACUCUGUAACUUCCAUCUUUCAUCAAUUAAUUAGUAAAUUGUUUUCACUUACCUCUCUAUUAACUAACCAUCGACACAAUAAAGGUCCAUUUGCACAAAGCCACAUUUUCAAAAUGUAAACAAACUUAACCUUUUCCACCUGUCGUUAAACACCAAUUUCGUAUGCGGCUUUCAAGAACCAAGUGCGCGCUCUCGGAGGAUCUUUGCGAUAAAUUCAAAAUUUUUCAUUUUCUUUUACAUAGACCGAUAUGGGCCACGGUUCGCGCCACGAAAACGGGCAGGGAGAAGUCGUCUGACUUUCCAACAACCUUCCUUUUCCGCUGCGGUACUGGUCGAGUACGGAUGCUCUAGUGAGAAUUGUGUGAAAAUCUACCUUGUCUAAAUUUACCUUUCCCGAUCUCGGGACUAUCGACUUACACAUUUUCGUACCGUCCGUAUUUAAAUACCACAUCAAUUUCCUUCGUCGCCCUCACAGAGGGAUCUACACUGGGGUCGAACUAGUUCCGGAGCGUUUCUGCACCUGUAGCUAUCGGAUAACCCGGAUCUAUACAAGCUUCAAAGCGAGCCGUUGAGCCUUCCCUUGCACCAGCACUUCGGCAACCAGUAGAAACGCCUGGAUCGCUCGUACCCGUCCGACCUUGAUAAGAAACCAUCGACGAUAAGUACCUCGUAUUUUUUGUUAUGAUUUCCUUGAAGUCGCGUUGCGUUGGUCCAUAGUGCGGGAUUUCAAGCUUAUUUUCUCUCUAGUUUACUCUGUCCCUCCUUGUUUUAAUUUGAAUCUUGGAAUUUUUUUAUUUUAUUAAUUGCUAAGUUUCAUGUGAACAUAUCACAGCUGUGAAAUGGCCAUUCAAGACAAUUCUGUUUUCGUUUUAUUUAAUAUUUGAUUUCAAUAUAAAUUUAAUUUUGUUGGAAACCGACACAUUAAUUUAAUUUCAACUAAUCUUAAUUAAAUUUUUUGUUACACUUUA